rnacentral:rRNA from 1 species
GAGUUUGAUCCUGGCUCAGGAUGAACGCUGGCGGCGUGCUUAACACAUGCAAGUCGAACGAACCUUCGGGUUAGUGGCGGACGGGUGAGUAACGCGUGGGAAUCUGCCCUCAGGAGGGGGAUAACGGCUGGAAACGGCCGCUAAUACCCCAUAUGCCGAGAGGUGAAAUGAAUUUCGCCUGAGGAUGAGCCCGCGUCUGAUUAGCUAGUUGGUGAGGUAAGAGCUCACCAAGGCAUCGAUCAGUAGCUGGUCUGAGAGGAUGAUCAGCCACACUGGGACUGAGACACGGCCCAGACUCCUACGGGAGGCAGCAGUGGGGAAUUUUCCGCAAUGGGCGAAAGCCUGACGGAGCAACGCCGCGUGAGGGAUGAAGGCCUCUGGGCUGUAAACCUCUUUUCUCAAGGAGGAAGAUCUGACGGUACUUGAGGAAUAAGCCACGGCUAAUUCCGUGCCAGCAGCCGCGGUAAUACGGGAGUGGCAAGCGUUAUCCGGAAUUAUUGGGCGUAAAGCGUCCGCAGGCGGCCCUUCAAGUCUGCUGUUAAAAAGUGGAGCUUAACUCCAUCAUGGCAGUGGAAACUGUUGGGCUUGAGUGUGGUAGGGGCAGAGGGAAUUUCCGGUGUAGCGGUGAAAUGCGUAGAUAUCGGGAAGAACACCAGUGGCGAAGGCGCUCUGCUGGGCCAUAACUGACGCUCAUGGACGAAAGCCAGGGGAGCGAAAGGGAUUAGAUACCCCUGUAGUCCUGGCCGUAAACGAUGAACACUAGGUGUCGGGGGAAUCGACCCCCUCGGUGUCGUAGCCAACGCGUUAAGUGUUCCGCCUGGGGAGUACGCACGCAAGUGUGAAACUCAAAGGAAUUGACGGGGGCCCGCACAAGCGGUGGAGUAUGUGGUUUAAUUCGAUGCAACGCGAAGAACCUUACCAGGGUUUGACAUCCUGCGAACCUCUUGGAAACGAGAGGGUGCCUUCGGGAACGCAGUGACAGGUGGUGCAUGGCUGUCGUCAGCUCGUGUCGUGAGAUGUUGGGUUAAGUCCCGCAACGAGCGCAACCCACGUCUUUAGUUGCCAGCAUUUAGUUGGGCACUCUAGAGAGACCGCCGGUGAUAAACCGGAGGAAGGUGUGGAUGACGUCAAGUCAUCAUGCCCCUUACAUCCUGGGCUACACACGUACUACAAUGCUACGGACAAAGAGCAGCAAGUUCGCGAGGACAAGCAAAUCUCAUAAACCGUGGCUCAGUUCAGAUCGUAGGCUGCAACUCGCCUACGUGAAGGAGGAAUCGCUAGUAAUCGCAGGUCAGCAUACUGCGGUGAAUACGUUCCCGGGCCUUGUACACACCGCCCGUCACACCAUGGAAGUUGGCCACGCCCGAAGCCGUUACUCCAACCCUCGGGAGGAGGACGUCGAAGGUGGGGCUGAUGACUGGGGUGAAGUCGUAACAAGGUAGCCGUA